UUCUGGUUUUAACUCUUUGGUGCUGCGAAGUCCUGGAUGCACACCGGCAGCGCUGGCGGGUCCAAGCCCGGCCCUGUGACUCCCGGCUGCUCCAGGGAGACGAGCGCGGGUGCUUCAAUCCCCGCGGCGGGCAGAGCCAGGCCGGGCGGUGCCGCUCCCAAGCGCUCCGGCAGCAGCAUAUUUGAACAGCAGCCUACUUCAAACUGAUUCAGAAUACUGAAGAACUCAUUGCUACAAGAAAUCUUCAAGACCAAACGUUUUAUAGGAUUAAGUAAAACAGACAUUAGCUUGAAUAAUGAAAAAAGAAUCCUUUUAUAUACAGCAGGAGAGAAUUUGCAGUACAUUUGGCCAUGCUCCUGAGCAUAACACAAAUGCUAACUGGUGGGAUUAGACAAACAUUUCUAAUAAGAAGUUUACUCUAUAAUUUUAUUGUGGGUUUUUUGUACCUUCCACUUGAGCAUCUGGGGCUGGCCCCUGCCAGAAACAAUACACUGGACUAGAUGAUCUGUUACUCCAGUUAGUUAUAGCAGUUGUUCUGUGAGAAUAAAGAAAAACAGGAUUAGGUCCACAGUGUGUGCUAUAGUGUUAAUACUAUAUAUUGUAGCAUUGUUAUGUUUGUUCAUUGUAGUUUUCAAGCUACAUGGCUGAUCACUAUUCCAUAUUUUUCACCUGAUCUACAGGCCAAGCUGCUAUUAAUAUAAGUGAGAUUUCUGUAAUGCAGAAACAAAAGUGAAUUUUGCUCAGGAUAAAAAAUAUUGAAUGUUAUAACUCCUGCCCUAUGCCCUUCAUUAGUAUGAUAUGCAAACUUAGUUGAUUCAGUUUAUGAGGCUUCUUAUACUGUGUGUAUCUGUAUAAAUAUUUGGCAUUUCUUUAAUCUUUU